rnacentral:rRNA from 1 species
UACGUAGGGACCGAGCGUUGUCCGGAAUCAUUGGGCGUAAAGAGCGUGUAGGCGGCUAUUUAAGUCCUGCGUGAAAUCCUGCGGCUCAACCGCAGACGGUCGUGGGAAACUGGAUGGCUAGAGUGCGGGAGAGGAGAGUGGAAUUCCCGGUGUAGCGGUGAAAUGCGCAGAUAUCGGGAAGAACACCCGUGGCGAAGGCGGGUCCCUGGGACGGUACUGACGCUGAGACGCGAAAGCGUGGGGAGCGAACAGG